rnacentral:rRNA from 1 species
UACAGAGGUGGCAAGCGUUGUUCGGAAUUACUGGGCGUAAAGGGCGCGUAGGCGGUCUUUGUAAGUCCCUGUGAAAUCCCUCGGCUCAACUGAGGAACUGCACGGGAAACUGCUUGGCUUGAGUUCGGGAGAGGGAAGCGGAAUUCCGGGUGUAGCGGUGAAAUGCGUAGAUAUCCGGAGGAACACCGGGUGGCGAAGGCG